CUUUCCUGCCUUACGGCUUCCUAGGCAUCUUGGGAUAUUCCCAUGAGAGAAGGCCGAUCCUACAUAUCCGGGACAGCACGCCUGGUGUUACAGCAGAGAUUGUUAGAGGCCUGUAUUCAGAAAAGCAAUGAGGUAUCGUGAGAAAGCUCUGGAGAGAAUGCUGCUGCCUGAAGAAGGGGGCAAAUGGAAGACAUGGCCAUAAGGCUAUUGUGUUCCUUAAGAGUAAGGGCCCUGAUUAAGGACACAUUCGGUGAAGACUGGAAAAGGAAGCAGUUGCUUGAAGUCUGAAGGUCACCAUGUAAUCCAAAGACCCCUCUUUUCUUAAUCCACGUUUUAUUUUUAAAAUUUUAAAUUGUACUUAUUAGGAUGGUAUGAGGAAGAUGUGGGUGUUUGUGCACAGAGCAUGGCAUUUGUGUGGUCAGAAGACUAUUUUUCCAGAGUUAGUUCUCCCUUCCACCCUUGUGUGGGUUCGGUUCUCAAACUCAGAUGGUCAGGCUUGCAUGGCAAGUGCUUUAACAGCCAUACCAUCUUGCCUGCCUCAGUGUAAACUUUCCCAAUUAGUAUAGACAGUAUUAUGUUUCCUUAUGGCCUUUUCAGUUUUAUGUUGACUCCUCUCCAUCCUUUUGAAUGCCCCUCCCCCUCUAAUAGCCUCCUUCAAUUCUCAUGCCAGCUCAAAAAUUGGGAUUAUAAACAUCUGCCAUCAAGCUAGACUGAUUUUGUUUCCCAUGCCUGCCUCCACUUCCCAUUUCAACAUCCCAAAUGCUGGGAUUAGAGGCCUCCGCCUCCAUGUGGUUUCUGACCUGGCACCUCCCCCAUAACAAGCAGGGUUCCCCUCUCCUAGAUCUGUAUUAAACUGUUUGGAGAGAAGAGCGACAGAGCUGUCAGAAUUUCUACACAGGUCACUCAAGGUUUGUCUCAUUUGUUCAUUGUUUAACAUGAGAACAUUCUCAAAUGGCGUGAAAUAUUCUUCACUAUUUCCUGCAA